GACGAACGCUGGCGGCGUGCCUAAUACAUGCAAGUCGAACGCAUUUUCUUUCACCGUAGCUUGCUACACCGAAAGAAAGUGAGUGGCGAACGGGUGAGUAACACGUGGGUAACCUGCCCAUCAGCGGGGGAUAACACUUGGAAACAGGUGCUAAUACCGCAUAAUUCCAUUUACCGCAUGGUAGAUGGAUGAAAGGCGCUUUUGCGUCACUGAUGGAUGUACCCGCGGUGCAUUAGCUAGUUGGUGGGGUAACGGGCUACCAAGGCUGCGAUGCAUAGCCGAACUGGGAGGGGGAUCGGCCACACUGGGACUGGGACACGGCCCAGACUCCUACGGGAAGCAGCAGUAGGGAAUCUUCGGCAAUGGACGCAAGUCUGACCGAGCAACGCCGCGUGAGUGAAGAAGGUUUUCGGAUUGUAAAACUCUGUUGUUAGAGAAGAACAAGGAUGAGAGUGGAAAGUUCAUCCCUUGACGGUAUCUAACCAGAAAGCCACGGCUAACUACGUG
rnacentral:rRNA from 1 species